AUUUAAAUAAUUCAUCUUCAAAUGACUUAUUUAAAUAUCUGUAAUCGAAUACACGUAUUGCUGUGUGUAGUCUUUGCCUGUCAUCUUAGACGGGCUUUUUUUUUA
rnacentral:other from 1 species